UACAGAGGUCUCGAGCGUUGUUCGGAUUCAUUGGGCGUAAAGGGUGCGUAGGUGGCGCUGUAAGUCGGGUGUGAAAUCCUGAGGCUUAACCUCGGAACUGCAUUCGAUACUGCGGUGGUUGAGGACUGGAGAGGAGACUGGAAUUCAUGGUGUAGCAGUGAAAUGCGUAGAGAUCAUGAGGAAGACCAGUGGCGAAGGCGGGUCUCUGGACAGUUCCUGACACUGAGGCACGAAGGCCAGGGGAGCAAACGGG
rnacentral:rRNA from 1 species